GAAAUGCGAUAAGUAAUGUGAAUUGCAGAAUUCAGUGAAUCAUCGAAUCUUUGAACGCACAUUGCGCCCCCCAGUAUUCUGGAGGGCAUGCCUGUUCGAGCGUCAUUUCAACCAUCAAGCCCCGGGCUUGUGUUGGGGACCUGCGGCUGCCGCAGGCCCCGAAAAGCAGUGGCGGGCUCGCUGUCACCCCGAGCGUAGUAGUAACAUCUCGCUUAGGGCGUGCCGCGGGCGCCGGCCGUUAAACCCCCUUAACUUCUAAGGUUGACCUCGGAUCAGGUAGGAGUACCCGCUGAACUUAA
rnacentral:misc_RNA from 1 species